rnacentral:rRNA from 1 species
UACGUAGGUGGCAAGCGUUGUCCGGAAUUAUUGGGCGUAAAGCGCGCGCAGGCGGUCCUUUAAGUCUGAUGUGAAAGCCCACGGCUCAACCGUGGAGGGUCAUUGGAAACUGGGGGGACUUGAGUGCAGAAGAGGAAAGCGGAAUUCCACGUGUAGCGGUGAAAUGCGUAGAGAUGUGGAGGAACACCAGUGGCGAAGGCGGCUUUCUGGUCUGUAACUGACGCUGAGGCGCGAAAGCGCGGGGAGCAAACAGG